UACGGAGGGGGCGAGCGUUAUUCGGAAUUAUUGGGCGUAAAGAGCUCGUAGGCGGUGUGUCACGUCGGCCGUGAAAACCUGGGGCUCAACUCUGGGCGUGCGGUCGAUACGGGCAUCACUAGAGUUCGGCAGGGGAGACUGGAAUUCCUGGUGUAGCGGUGAAAUGCGCAGAUAUCAGGAGGAACACCGGUGGCGAAGGCGGGUCUCUGGGCCGAUACUGACGCUGAGGAGCGAAAGCAUGGGUAGCGAACAGG
rnacentral:rRNA from 1 species